CGGGGGAGAUAUUUAUAUAAUAGCGGAGGAAAAGAAACCAACAGGGAUUGCCCUAGUAACGGCGAGUGAAGCGGCAACAGCUCAAAUUUGAAAUCUGGCUUCGGCCCGAGUUGUAAUUUGUAGAGGAUGCUUUUGGUGCGGUGCCUUCUGAGUUCCCUGGAACGGGACGCCUUAGAGGGUGAGAGCCCCGUAAAGUUGGACACCAAGCCUAUGUAAAGCUCCUUCGACGAGUCGAGUAGUUUGGGAAUGCUGCUCAAAAUGGGAGGUAAAUUUCUUCUAAAGCUAAAUACCGGCCAGAGACCGAUAGCGCACAAGUAGAGUGAUCGAAAGAUGAAAAGCACUUUGAAAAGAGGGUUAAACAGUACGUGAAAUUGUUGAAAGGGAAGCGCUCAUGACCAGACUUGUGCCCUGCGGAUCAUCCAGCCUUCUGGCUGGUGCACUUCGCUUGGUUCAGGCCAGCAUCGGUUCUCUGAGGGGGAUAAAAGCUUCAGGAACGUAGCUCUCUCGGGAGCAUUAUAGCCUGUUGCAUAAUACCCCUCGGGGGACCGAGGUUCGCGCAUCUGCAAGGAUGCUGGCGUAAUGGUCAUCAGCGACCCGUCUUGAAACACGGACCAAGGAGUCAAGCAUUAGUGCGAGUGUUUGGGUGUAAAACCCGCACGCGUAAUGAAAGUGAACGUAGGUGAGAGCUUCGGCGCAUCAUCGACCGAUCCUGAUGUAUUCGGAUGGAUUUGAGUAGGAGCAUUAACGCUUGGACCCGAAAGAUGGUGAACUAUGCUUGGAUAGGGUGAAGCCAGAGGAAACUCUGGUGGAGGCUCGCAGCGGUUCUGACGUGCAAAUCGAUCGUCAAAUCUGAGCAUGGGGGCGAAAGACUAAUCGAACCAUCUAGUACUGGUACCGAAAAAAACCCUC
rnacentral:rRNA from 1 species